AGUAACUCUGACCAUUGCCAAGACACAACGCUCAGUUAAAAAGCCCCAGUGAGAUGUGAUCCAAAAAGAACAGCAGUUGCAUUUACUGUUACGUCAUACAACAUAACAAACCCACUGAAGUCUCGGGCGUUCUGCUCUGCGUCUCUUUCUGCUGGUUGUUCGUAGGAGUUGGAAGUUCUCUUCAGUUACCUGUGGAGCUGCUGCUCAGAACUGGUGAAAAUCUUGUAUAUAUGGAACAAGACUUUAGCAAGAAUGUCAUACAGCCCUGA
rnacentral:lncRNA from 1 species